CAGCCGCCACGGGAAUACGUAGGGUGCGAGCGUUAAUCGGAAUUACUGGGCGUAAAGCGUGCGCAGGCGGUUAUAUAAGACAGAUGUGAAAUCCCCGGGCUCAACCUGGGACCUGCAUUUGUGACUGUAUAGCUAGAGUACGGUAGAGGGGGAUGGAAUUCCGCGUGUAGCAGUGAAAUGCGUAGAUAUGCGGAGGAACACCGAUGGCGAAGGCAACCCCCCGGACCUGUACUGACGCUCAUACACGAAAGCGUGGGGAGCAAACAGGAUUAGAUACCCCCGUAGUCCCUGUCUCUUAUAC
rnacentral:rRNA from 1 species